rnacentral:rRNA from 1 species
AUUGAACGCUGGCGGCAGGCCUAACACAUGCAAGUCGAGCGGAGCGGCGGACGGGUGAGUAAUGCCUAGGAAUCUGCCUGGAAGUGGGGGAUAACGUCCGGAAACGGGCGCUAAUACCGCAUACUAUCAGAUGAGCCUAGAUGGGAUUAGCGAGUAGGUGGGGUAAAGGCUCACCUAGGCGACGAGCCCUAGCUGGUCUGAGAGGAUGACCAGCCACACUGGAACUGAGACACGGUCCAGACUCCUACGGGAGGCAGCAGUGGGGAAUAUUGCACAAUUGGCGCAAGCCUGAUGCAGCCAUGCCGCGUGUAUGAAGAAGGCCUUCGGGUUGUAAAGUACUUUCCGCGGGGAGGCGUUACCCGCAGAAGAAGCACCGGCUAACUCCGUGCCAGCAGCCGCGGUAAUAC